GGAUCCAUAAAUCGCUCUAGCCCUGUUUCACAAAAAUUUAAAUAUCUCAUAAAAUAUAACUCAUAUACCUGUUCCAUCCAUAUGAAAUAGACUCAUCAAGCUUUAAUUCUAUAUCUCAUUCACUAUCUAAAUCCAUUUCUACUAUUUUUAGUGAUUUUCCAAAUUCACAUCAUUAUUGCUGUCUGAUAUUGUUUUAAAGCUAAUUUCACCUUUUUCAUGAUUUUCAUGGAAUAACUAGCAUUUAGGCAUACAUAACACCAAACAUGUCCUUGAUUAGCCAUUCCAACAGCUAAUCAUUAUCAAGCAUUUACAUACCAUUCAUCACCCAUAUCAUAAGAUCAUACACACAAAAUGGCUACGAUGCUAUACAUGCCAUACUCAAAAUGAAACGACUAGCUAUACCAAAAUAAUCCUCGUGAUAGUGUGCCCGGACCUCCGACGUACUUUACGAUCCCCGAGUUAGCUUGAAAAAACUAUAGAAAGAAGGAAACUAAAGGGGGUAAGCAUUAAGCUUAGUAAGUUUGCAUGCAAAUAAAUAACAACAUUCAUAAGAAUUAUCUUACUACUUGGCAUGAUACUACUUAAUGCAACUUCAUUAAUUGUCAUAGACAUAUUUUAAACUUCUUCACUUACUCACUUACUUAAAUACUUACUUAAUCAAAUUUAUUAAUACAUUUUACUUACCUUUUUCCUUAUCAAGCAUACAUGAACAUUAUGUACUUACCUUUGCUCUUCUAGCAUGAACUUGUCUUACUUUUUUAGUAUAACUCGUCUUACCUUACCUUACCUUGAUAUUCUCUUUAAAUUUUCCCGUCGAACCACUUGGAAUACUAAGGAUACGCGGGUACCUUACCAUUGCCAUGACUUGUCAUGGUCUUACGUGGUAUCCUUUUGAAACUUACUAUUGCCAUGUCUUGACAUGGUCUUACAUGGUAUCCUUGCCUUAUGAACUCACCAAUGCCAUGCCUUGGCAUGGUCUUACAUGGGACCUUUGCCUUAUAGUAACUUAUCAAUGCCAUGUCUUGACAUGGUCUUACAUGAUUUCCUUGCCUUAGAAACCUUACCAAUUCCCAUGCCUUAGCAUGGUCUUACAUGGUAUCCUUAAACCCUAAUGUCAUGACAUUUGUAUUCUACACAUUCCUAAGGUUCAACCGGGACUUUCUGAAAUUACUUCUCCGUCAAUUCAUGCUUGAGUCUUCUUUGAAUAAUUUCAUAAAAUAAAUAUACACAUGCUGGAAAUUAACAACAUUAACAUAAAAUAAUAGAAUAUUGCAUUUAUUUACUGCAAACUUACCUCGAAACAAAAUACGAUCAACUAUAUCGAUUUAGUCCAUUAUCUUUUUCUUUCCCCGGUCUGACUCCGAAUUUUGUUCUUCUUGAUCUAUAAUAAAAAAAUUUAGCUUAUUUAAUACUCACAUUUAUUAAAACAGUCCUUGACCCAAACUUUGGAAAAAUUAUAUUUUUGCCCCUAAACUUUUACAUAUUUACACUUUUUCCCCAAGGCUCGAAAUUUAAACUUCAUCCUAUUUUCUUAUGUUUUAUGACAUGCUGAUCAUUUUUCCCAUCUAUGAAAACAUAAAAUUCUCACUCUAACAUGUACUUAUGACUAUUAGGUAUUUUUACCGAUUAAGCCCUUUUACUCGUUUUCACUUAAAACCGAGUAGCACAAGUUGUCUAACAUAAUUUAAAACCUCAUAUUCUAUCAUAAAACACCAAAAUACACAAAUUUCACCUAUGGGUAUUUUUCCAAAUAUGAACCCUAGGUUGAAUUAUUGCGAGAAUAAGCUUAAUCAAGUUACCGGGACUCCAAAAAUGUAAAGAACAUUAAAAACGGGGCUUGAAAUCACUUACUAUGGAGCUUGGAAGCUUGGAAAAAACCCUAGCUAUGGAGAAACCUUGAAAUUUCGGC
rnacentral:lncRNA from 1 species